rnacentral:lncRNA from 1 species
AAACGGAAUUUACUUAAAUAGAUGGAAUGUGUGGUUAUGUAUAUUUGCUUGAAUAAGUGAACUCGGUACGUUCAUAUGACAGAAUCUUAUGUAUAAUUGUUAAAUUAGAGGUAAUAUGAUAUUUUGUUAUGUGUAUUUAUUAUUGAAUCAUGAAUAUUAUAAUAGUAUGAAAAUUGAAUUGGAAGAUCAAAUUGAGUAGAACGCAGGAAUGAGUACUUUCGUUCAGUGAUAUGUGAUGAAUUGACGGAAAAUACCAUGGUUUGGCCAUGCAACAUGUGAAAAUGUGAUUAUGAAAUUUCCGUGUAAGACCAUAUCUGGAAUAUGGCAUCAUUGUGAUAUGUGAUUCCGUGUAAGACUAUAGCUGGGCUAUGGCAUCGGUAUGUGAUAUGUGAUUACAUGUAAGACCAUAGUUGGAUAUGGCAAUGUGAAAACGAAGUACUCAAUUCCGUAAGGCGUUCUGUAAUUUGACAAAUUGUGGUAAGUGUUAGGCAAAUUUUAUGUGAUAAAACAUAUUAAACAGUGAAAUUGAGCUCAAUUAUGUGAUCUCACCAUUCAGAGAUUAUGUUUGUCAGGUUAUGUUAAUAAAUUAUGUGUAUGUGAAUUUAAGUGACAGAAAUUAAACAGAUAAUGAUAUUGAGCUCAUUUACAUGAAUCUGUCAUUUGAAAUUGUGAUUGACAAGAAGAAAUAGUGAUUUGCAUGCUUAUGUAUGGU